GAUGAACGCUGGCGGCGUGCUUAACACAUGCAAGUCGAACGAUGAUCCGGUGCUUGCACCGGGGAUUAGUGGCGAACGGGUGAGUAACACGUGAGUAACCUGCCCUUAACUCUGGGAUAAGCCUGGGAAACUGGGUCUAAUACCGGAUAUGACUCCUCAUCGCAUGGUGGGGGGUGGAAAGCUUUAUUGUGGUUUUGGAUGGACUCGCGGCCUAUCAGCUUGUUGGUGAGGUAAUGGCUCACCAAGGCGACGACGGGUAGCCGGCCUGAGAGGGUGACCGGCCACACUGGGACUGAGACACGGCCCAGACUCCUACGGGAGGCAGCAGUGGGGAAUAUUGCACAAUGGGCGCAAGCCUGAUGCAGCGACGCCGCGUGAGGGAUGACGGCCUUCGGGUUGUAAACCUCUUUCAGUAGGGAAGAAGCGAAAGUGACGGUACCUGCAGAAGAAGCGCCGGCUAACUACGUGC
rnacentral:rRNA from 1 species